UAGGGAAUCUUCGGCAAUGGACGAAAGUCUGACCGAGCAACGCCGCGUGAGUGAAGAAGGUUUUCGGAUCGUAAAACUCUGUUGUUAGAGAAGAACAAGGACGUUAGUAACUGAACGUCCCCUGACGGUAUCUAACCAGAAAGCCACGGCUAACUACGUGCCAGCAGCCGCGGUAAUACGUAGGUGGCAAGCGUUGUCCGGAUUUAUUGGGCGUAAAGCGAGCGCAGGCGGUUUCUUAAGGCUGAUGUGAAAGCCCCCGGCUCAACCGGGGAGGGUCAUUGGAAACUGGGAGACUUGAGUGCAGAAGAGGAGAGUGGAAUUCCAUGUGUAGCGGUGAAAUGCGUAGAUAUGUGGAGGAACACCAGUGGCGAAGGCGGCUCUCUGGUCUGUAACUGACGCUGAGGCUCGAAAGCGUGGGGAGCAAACAGG
rnacentral:rRNA from 1 species